UGCUUAUCUGGAUGGACCUUGUUUACAGUUCCCCAGGAGGCAUCCGCAAGAGGCAGGUUUAUUCAACCCCUGGGUGUUUGUAUGUAUACCAAGUGUAUAGAGAAGCCCAAGGAGAUCAGAAGCUGCUUCAGAACCUGUAGAACUGAAGUUACUUAUUUGUGAGCCACCAUGUAGGUAGGUGCUGGAAACGGAACAGGGUGAUCACCCCGCAUCUGAGCUCUCUCUCCAGCCCCAAACGUUCAUUUAAUAAGAAUAAAUGGCAUAUAAUAAGCACAUCACAAUCUGUACUGUCCUUUCACGCCUGUAUUGUUACCGUGUUAAGUAUGACACCUUCAGAUUAGUGUGCAGAAGACAAAAAUAGGCUUACGGGUUUGGGAAGCAGCCUUGUAGGACAGUCUACUUCCCAUAUGUCAAGGUUUUGAUGUUCUUGUCUUCUAGAACUACAGUUCUAAUUACUUGGUGCCUUUUAUCUAAAUUCUCUCCGUGUCUUGGGUAAAUUUGGCCUGGUCAUAAAUGGUUUUUCUUAGUGUACUCAGGCAUAUUGCAAGGCUCAGAACCGUGAGUAACACUGUUGCCUGAGCAUACUCGGGGCUGGUGCAUCCUGAGAUGGCUUUUUGGCAGGUCUUU
rnacentral:lncRNA from 1 species